GAGAGAAUCACUUUCCACAAGAGAAGGCAUUGUGGAGGGGAAGACAGAGAGAGCAACAGAAAGUGAGGUCCAGCGGCUUGGUUCUGUGGAUCUGUAAGGCAUUCCUCCUCUCUGGAGGGCCCUGUGGCCCCAGCUCAUGGCACACCGCUGGUGACCACAGGUUCUCCUGCCUCGGGUACAGGAGCCACAGCGUGGCUAAGGAUCUGGAGAGCUGUGGACCCCUAGUGGCAGGGCCCGGGACAGCUGGUCGGCGCUGGGCACCAGCCUCACAGACCCUCCUGCAUGGAUGGCUUGGAAUACGUCCUUGCAAAAACCCUAAGGAACCCUCCUGCACGCCAGCCUCAGCUCCAGCCUUUGCUCUCAGGGGAUUCAUAUGGAAUUUCACUGGAAGACUUUUCAUCUUUUUUUCGGACAGGCCAAUGCCUUGGUUGGGUGGGGAGGACAAGGGUCAAAAUGAUGUUACCAGAGGAGGGAUCGCUAAGUUCUGUUUAAAAAAACAUUACUCUUCCAUAAA